AGAGACCUUCGGGUCUCUAGUGGCGAACGGGUGAGUAACACGUAGGGAACCUGCCCGCGCACCGGGAAUACGCUCUGGAAACGGAGAACAAAUCCCGAUGUACAGGAAGGAGGCAUCUUCUUUCUGUGAAACAUCCUCUAGGGGAUGGGGCGCGGAUGGACCUGCGGUGCAUUAGUUUGUUGGCGGGGUAAAGGCCCACCAAGACGAUGAUGCAUAGCCGAGUUGAGAGACUGAUCGGCCACAUUGGGACUGAGACACGGCCCAAACUCCUACGGGAGGCAGCAGUAGGGAAUCUUCCACAAUGGACGAAAGUCUGAUGGAGCAACGCCGCGUGAGUGAAGAAGGGUUUCGGCUCGUAAAGCUCUGUUGGUAGUGAAGAAAGAUAGAGGUAGUAACUGGCCUUUAUUUGACGGUAAUUACUUAGAAAGUCACGGCUAACUACGUGCCAGCAGCCGCGGUAAUACGUAGGUGGCAAGCGUUGUCCGGAUUUAUUUGGGCGUAAAGCGAGUGCAGGCGGUUCAAUAAAGUCUGAGGGAAAAGCCUUCGGCUCAACCCGGAAAAUUGCAUCAGAAACUGUUGAACUGGAGUGCAGAAGAGGAGAGUGGAACUCCAUGUGUAGCGGUGGAAUGCGUAGAUAAUAUGGAAGAACACCAGUGGCGAAGGCGGCUCUCUGGGUCUGCAACUGACGCUGAGGCUCGAAAGCAUGGGUAGCGAACAGGAUUAGAUACCCUGGUAGUCCAUGCCGUGAACGAUGAGUGCUAAGUGUUGGGAGGUUUCCGCCUCUCAGUGCUGCAGCUAACGCAUUAAGCACUCCGCCUGGGGAGUACGACCGCAAGGUUGAAACUCAAAGGAAUUGACGGGGGCCCGCACAAGCGGUGGAGCAUGUGGUUUAAUUCGAAGCAACGCGAAGAACCUUACCAGGUCUUGACAUCCAGUGCAAACCUAAGAGAUUAGGUGUUCCCUUCGGGGACGCUGAGACAGGUGGUGCAUGGCUGUCGUCAGCUCGUGUCGUGAGAUGUUGGGUUAAGUCCCGCAACGAGCGCAACCCUUAUUCUUAGUAGCCAGCAGGUAAGGCUGGGCACUCUGGGAAGACUGCCAGGGAUAACCUGGAGGAAGGUGGGGAUGACGUCAAAUCAUCAUGCCCCUUAUGAUUUGGGCUACACACGUGCUACAAUGGCGUAAACAAAGGGAGGCGAAGGAGUAAUCUGGAGCGAACCCCAAAAAUAACGUCUCAGUUCGGACUGUGGUCUGCAACCCGACCACACGAAGCUGGAAUCGCUAGUAAUCGCGAAUCAGAAUGUCGCGGUGAAUACGUUCCCGGGUCUUGCACUCACCGCCCGUCA
rnacentral:rRNA from 1 species